UACGAAGGGGGCUAGCGUUGUUCGGAAUCACUGGGCGUAAAGGGCGCGUAGGCGGCCCGAUCAAGUCGGGGGUGGAAAGCCUGUGGCUCAACCACAGAAUUGCCCUUCGAUACUGGUUGGCUUGAGACCGGAAGAGGUAAGUGGAACUGCGAGUGUAGAGGUGAAAUUCGUAGAUAUUCGCAAGAACACCAGUGGCGAAGGCGGCUU
rnacentral:rRNA from 1 species